rnacentral:rRNA from 1 species
AUUGAACGCUAGCGGGAUGCUUUACACAUGCAAGUCGAACGAGUGGCGGACGGGUGAGUAAUAUAUCGGAACCUGCCCGGUAGCGGGGGAUAACUACUCGAAACAGUGGCUAAUACCGCAUACUAUUGGAUGUGCCUAUAUCGGAUUAGCUAGUUGGUGGGGUAAAGGCUCACCAAGGCAACGAUCCGUAGCUGGUUUGAGAGGAGGACCAGCCACACGGGGACUGAGACACGGCCCAGACUCCUACGGGAGGCAGCAGUGGGGAAUAUUGCACAAUGGGCGCAAGCCUGAUGCAGCCAUGCCGCGUGUAUGAAGAAGGCCUUAGGGUUGUAAAGUACUUUCAGCGGGGAGGCGUUACCCGCAGAAGAAGCACCGGCUAACUCCGUGCCAGCAGCCGCGGUAAUUC